rnacentral:ncRNA from 1 species
AAAAAAUUCGAUUCUAAUUUAGCUGAAAUUUCUAUUUUUAUUAUUUACUAUGUAUUUGUUUUUAAUAAUUUUAAACAGUAAUCAAUAUUGUUUAUUAUGAUAAUGACACAAAAAUUUUAAGUAAGGCUAGAUAAAUUUGUGCCAGCAUCUGCGGUUAUACCUAUAGUCUAAGUGAUUUUUUUUAGAAAAAUAUAGUUUUUAUUUACUAUUUUUUUUUUUCUUAAAUUUUAAGGUGGAAUUUAAUUUUUAUUUAUUUUUGAGGGGCUAUGAAAUUUGUUUAGGGUUAUAGAAUAGGAUUAGAUACCCUAGUAUUACAUUUUUAAAUUUUUAUCUAGGGGAUUAUUUGUUAUGGUCAUUAAACUCAAAGGAUUUGGCGGUAGAUAAUUUUAUUAGAGGAACUUGUAUUUUAAUAGAUAUUACCCGUUAUAAUUUACUUAAUUUAAAUUAUUUUGUAUAUCGUCGUUUAUUUUUGGGAGAUAUUUAAAGAUAAAAUUUUCUUUUUGAUAAAUUUAAUUAGAUCAGAUCAAGAUACAGGUUAUAAUUAAGAAUUUAUGAGUUACAAUUAAUUUUAGUAUUAACGUAUGAUCUUUAGUAUUGAAUUUUUUAAGUUGGAUUUAAAAGUAAAUUUUUAUUAGAAAGUAAUAUUGAAUUAUUUUUAUUUAUGUACAUAUUGCCCGUCGCUCUCGUUGUUUUUUAAAUGAGAUAAGUCGUAACAUAGUAGGGGUUCUGGAAAGAGCUCCUAG